rnacentral:rRNA from 1 species
AUUGAACGCUGGCGGCAUGCCUCACACAUGCAAGUCGAACGGCAGCACGGGAGCAAUCCUGGUGGCGAGUGGCGAACGGGUGAGUAAUGUAUCGGAACGUGCCCAGUCGUGGGGGAUAACGUAGCGAAAGCUACGCUAAUACCGCAUACGAUCUGUGGAUGAAAGCGGGGGACCGUAAGGCCUCGCGCGACUGGAGCGGCCGAUAUCAGAUUAGGUCGUUGGUGGGGUAAAGGCCUACCAAGCCGACGAUCUGUAGUCGGUCUGAGAGGACGACCAGCCACACUGGGACUAAGACGCGGCACAGACUCCUACGGGAGGAAGCAGGGGGGAAUUUUGGACAAUGGGCGCAAGCCUGAUCCAGCAAUGCCGCGUGCAGGAUGAAGGCCUUCGGGUUAUAAACUGCUUUUGUACGGAGCGAAAAGGCUCUCUCUAAUACAGGGGGCUCAUGACGGUACCGUAAGAAUAAGCACCGGCUAACUACGUGCCAGCCGCCGCGGUAA